rnacentral:rRNA from 1 species
GUGCCAGCCGCCGCGGUAAUACGUAGGGUGCGAGCGUUAAUCGGAAUUACUGGGCGUAAAGCGUGCGCAGGCGGUUUGUUAAGAUAGGCGUGAAAUCCCCGGGCUCAACCUGGGAACUGCGUUUAUGACUGGCAGGCUAGAGUAUGGCAGAGGGGGGUGGAAUUCCACGUGUAGCAGUGAAAUGCGUAGAGAUGUGGAGGAACACCGAUGGCGAAGGCAGCCCCCUGGGCCAAUACUGACGCUCAUGCACGAAAGCGUGGGUAGCAAACAGGAUUAGAUACCCUGGUAGUCCACGCCCUAAACGAUGUCAACUAGGUGUUGGGAGGGUAAAACCUUUUAGUACCGGAGCUAACGCGUGAAGUUGACCGCCUGGGGAGUACGGCCGCAAGGUUAAA